GCCAGUGUGGCAUAGUGGCUUGAGUGUUGGACAAUGACUCAGGAGACCAGGGUUCGAUUCCCUGCUUGGCCA
rnacentral:tRNA from 1 species